CAUCUAUACCGCCAGGGAGCAACAACAGGGCAGUUGUCUAUUGAGAGUAACUUGAACUCAAGGACCAUUAGGAGUAGUACUAAUGCUCAACUGUAUCGGGAGUAUAUGCCUUCAGUAUGGCAGUCCUUUGUUUCACACAGAAUACUUGUGCGCCCUUCAGAUGAUAGUAAAUAUCAAAAGAAGUCCAUCUAUUUAUCGGAAUGGCUGUUGCCAUCCUUGAAGUUAUCAGACAAAUUUACAAUCAAUGAUGAUGGCACAUACAUCGUAUCGUGAAAUUCACAUGAUUUUAGACUGGCGUUUCUCAACCUGAGGUCAAGCAUGUAAAUUGAAGCCCAAAAUGAAAUUCCGAAAAGGUCACUUGCUCAUCUGGCAGUAGUUUCAACUGAAGUGAGAUGCAAUUAUGGAAGCUUUCUACCUAUUCAGAUUCUAAUGUGAGGUAUACCAUAUUGAGACAUGUUCGGCAUGAAAUGAACCCGGAAGGGAAGCCACAGGAGCAGGAGUGGAGAGAAAGCAAAAGAGGAAAGGUGUUUUCCCAUUUGAUUGAUCAACUCAGAGUUGGUCCAAAAUUUAGAGUGAUGUGAAAGGUGAUUUGUAGGACUCAAAGGUCUUUGCAAGUUCUGGCAACCUGAGAGAAGAUGACAUCCAUCUGCUUUCCACCAGCCAGUGUAAAUGACAACCAAGGCAAGAAAGAAAAGACCUUAAAUAGUUC